UUUGGACAAGGGCAAACUUUGCGAAAGCAGAGGGCGCAAAGCUUCUGGGCUACGGCGAUUUCGCUAUGCCAGCAGGGCUGCCGGC
rnacentral:ncRNA from 1 species